AAAGCGUGCGCAGGCGGUUUUGUAAGACUGUCGUGAAAUCCCCGGGCUCAACCUGGGAAAUGGCGAUGGUGACUGCAAGGCUAGAGUUUGGCAGAGGGGGUAGAAUUCCACGUGUAGCAGUGAAAUGCGUAGAUAUGUGGAGGAACACCGAUGGCGAAGGCAGCCCCCUGGGUCAAAACUGACGCUCAUGCACGAAAGCGUGGGGAGCAAACAGGAUUAGAUACCCCAGU
rnacentral:rRNA from 1 species